UGUCCUUUGUGGUAGUUCUACCUAAGAGACA
rnacentral:piRNA from 1 species